UCCCUGGUGGCUCAGAUGGUAAAGCAUCUGCCUGCAGGGCAGGAGAUUCAGGUUUGAUCCCUGAGUUGGGAA
rnacentral:tRNA from 1 species